rnacentral:rRNA from 1 species
AACGAACGCUGGCGGCAUGCCUAACACAUGCAAGUCGAACGAGACCUUCGGGUCUAGUGGCGCACGGGUGCGUAACGCGUGGGAACCUGCCCUUAGGUUCGGAAUAACUCCCCGAAAGGGGUGCUAAUACCGGAUAAUGUCUUCGGACCAAAGAUUUAUCGCCUUUGGAUGGGCCCGCGUUGGAUUAGCUAGUUGGUAGGGUAAAAGCCUACCAAGGCGACGAUCCAUAGCUGGUCUGAGAGGAUGAUCAGCCACACUGGGACUGAGACACGGCCCAGACUCCUACGGGAGGCAGCAGUGGGGAAGAGUGGACAAUGGGCGAAAGCCUGAUCCAGCAAUGCCGCGUGAGUGAUGAAGGCCUUAGGGUUGUAAAGCUCUUUUACCCGGGAUGAUAAUGACAGUACCGGGAGAAUAAGCUCCGGCUAACUCCGU